rnacentral:tRNA from 1 species
GCGGACGUGGCGGAAUGGUAGACGCAGCGGACUUAAAAUCCGCUUCCCCCUGGGAGUGUGGGUUCGAGUCCCACCGUCCGCACCA